UGAGAUGUGCAAAUCCCAUGACGAGUGGUGCCUGGGGGAGGUGCCAGGCAGCCCCAUGUGUGCUGAUGGCAGCUGGAGCAAUCCAGACAGCCAAACCUGCUGUCCUGACCAUGCUGUGAGGACUGGGCUGCAACUGGAAUGGGAGCAGGCUCUCAGCAGUUUUGCAGAAGGUGCAAUGUUAGCUGGCUAAGGCAUCAUUCUUCCUUUUUGUUCCAACACAGAGCAGCUGGAGAGAGAAGGCAGGAAGAAGAAAUAAUGUGAAGGGGAAAAAAGGGAUCACAGCAAUAUACAGGUUGGAGAGACUUCAGCUCAGGAGCAGGACAGCAAACUCCAGGUUGCCACUCAGUUAAUGUGCUGAUGUGCUCUCAUUGAUGUCACUGCCCUGUCUUGAGGUGACUUGUUCUGGAGAGAGUGCUUCCAAUGGGAUGUCACAGGACUGUGAUGCAAUUCCUGCAAAGAAUUGACAAAAGAGUUUCAAUGAAAAAGACAUUCUCCAAGCAACUAGAGGGGAAAAUCAAUUGUCCCUGACUGUCAUCUCCAAUUCUGAGCUUGCAGAAUUAUAUAAGAUGAAGCAUUUGUUUCCCAAUAAACUGAUAAACGUGCCCUGUGAUGCUUUAAAAUGCAUAUUUGCCAGAGGAGGACUGUCUGUGUUUGAAAACAGUUACAAGAAUGAACUCCAGAUGGUCCUGCUGUCAAGGUACAAUAGGUGGUUUUUUGGCUUAACUAACAUGAGUUGUGGCAGAGAGAAAUCAGAUACUCACAAAGCUGAAUAAAGCACAUAUCCAGUGACAUGUCUCCUCUUUUCUGGGCU